rnacentral:tRNA from 1 species
GGAUAGGUGGGCGAGUGGUUUAUGCCAGCAGACUGUAAAUCUGCCGCUUAAUUGCAUCGUUGGUUCGAAUCCAACCCUAUCCA